AGUUUGAAGAUAGUUAGAGUCAGCUUUGCAUCCAUAGCGGCCCAAUAUCUCAAGAGACAUCCUUUUAGCUUCUGAUCAGGAGAACAAGCAUCCAAAGUAUUCUAUGAACUGUUCUUUGGUAGAGUAUCAAUGACUCAAUCCAAGUUUCAAGUUCAAGUCUCAAAUCUUAAUUUCAAGAUCAAAAUUUUGAGAUCAAGGUAUCCACUAGAAGAAGGUGAGGCAAUAACUGAAGAUCCAAGAGGAAGAUCG
rnacentral:lncRNA from 1 species